rnacentral:rRNA from 1 species
GCAGUCGACGGUAGCACAGAGGAGCUUGCUCCUUGGGUGACGAGUGGCGGACGGGUGAGUAAUGUCUGGGAAACUGCCCGAUGGAGGGGGAUAACUACUGGAAACGGUAGCUAAUACCGCAUAACGUCGCAAGACCAAAGAGGGGGACCUUCGGGCCUCUUGCCAUCGGAUGUGCCCAGAUGGGAUUAGCUAGUAGGUGGGGUAACGGCUCACCUAGGCGACGAUCCCUAGCUGGUCUGAGAGGAUGACCAGCCACACUGGAACUGAGACACGGUCCAGACUCCUACGGGAGGCAGCAGUGGGGAAUAUUGCACAAUGGGCGCAAGCCUGAUGCAGCCAUGCCGCGUGUAUGAAGAAGGCCUUCGGGUUGUAAAGUACUUUCAGCGAGGAGGAAGGUGUUGUGGUUAAUAACCGCAGCGAUUGACGUUACUCGCAGAAGAAGCACCGGCUAACUCCGUGCCAGCAGCCGCGGUAAUACGGAGGGUGCAAGCGUUAAUCGGAAUUACUGGG